rnacentral:rRNA from 1 species
GUACGGCCACAUUGGGACUGAGAUACGGCCCAGACUCCUACGGGAGGCAGCAGUGGGGAAUAUUGCACAAUGGGCGCAAGCCUGAUGCAGCGACGCCGCGUGGGGGAUGACGGCCUUCGGGUUGUAAACCUCUUUCAGUAGGGAAGAAGCGAGAGUGACGGUACCUGCAGAAGAAGCGCCGGCUAACUACGUGCCAGCAGCCGCGGUAAUACGUAGGGUGCGAGCGUUGUCCGGAAUUAC